rnacentral:lncRNA from 1 species
AAGGGUCCACAAUCAUAUUUAAGACAUGGAAAUGCUGAAAGUUUACCCCAUUUCCCCCAAUAAUUCUUUUCUCCUUCCUCUCUCUUCUCUCCCUAUUCUCUUCCCCUAAUCUAGCCACCCGCCACCCAUCUUUGCCGGCCAAAAAUCGUUGUCCCCACUGGCCGGUGUCCAAACCACCCCAAAAUCGUACUAUACAAUCACCUUAACCUCCUCUUUCAAAAUUUCCAACCCAAAUCCCUCAAAACUCGCUCAGAUUCCAUGAUUUUUAGAUCUAUAAAACCUUAGCCACAUCCCUUUUUGCCCAAAUUCGUGAAGCUCCGACCAGCACCACCAUACCAUACAUACAUGAAUGGAUAGAGCGUCUUCUACUCUAUCUUUUCCCACCAGUUUGACCCUGAACUCCAACCACCGGAAUCUAAUGACCUUUCAGGCGACUACCCCUGACCGCUGCAACUGCCUCUCCUUUUUGCCUCUGGCCUCCCGUAGGUUUAUACUAUAGAUAAUACCAAAAUAAUAUUACGGUUCAUCGGAAUUUAUGGCUUUGGUGUAUAUCAACAAUAAAAACACACCCGAGCUCGAACCACUGCCUAUCAUUAUUGUUUGCCAUUGCCCGGGUACUCGAGUUUGGUAAAAUUCCUAAUCCCUUCUCUUUGACUUAAAUUUUCUGUUUUUCUUAUUUGAUUUGUUGGUUUGUUUAGGUUAAAGUUCUGGUAAUGAUCUAUCCACUAUUUUGUAUAGUAUUAUUUCUAAUUUUGACGCUGGUUUAGUUUUGUUGUGAUUAACAACUUGACUAUAAUACGUGUUUUUCCUAAUCAUAGAUUUUUAUCUUUUCCCUUGGAUUGAUCAUAUAAACAUUAGUUUGAUUGGCUAAGUUGAAUGCUGAAUUUUCUGCUUUUACAUUGGUUUGAAUUGGUUAGUUUGUGAAUGAUAAAAGGUAAAUGAUGAAGUAGAGUACAUGUUUGGUUUCUUUUACUAUGUUGGAGUUGUUGGGAGUACAUCUACUCCUUGCUUGUGUCUGAAAUUGGAGAAGAGGACAGUCUUUUCUCACUCAUUUGGAUAAAUUUUUGUUUUAACUCAUAGUAUAAUCCCUAUGGCCUUCCUCUCCUACAAAAGAAGGGUCUUUAUUCACUUUAAUAGGAGGGGAGGAAAAACUUUCAGCAACUAUGUUCCUCUUGGAAAUAAUUUAGAAAAGUCUUUAGGUUCUCUUUUCUAUUAAAGAGUUUCUGGGUUCUAGUGUUUUAAGUUUUCUGUUGUUUGUUGUACGUUGGCUGCUUGUUACUGAUUUUUCAUAGCUGGGUUUCCAAAAGUUUUGUGCAACUUUGAGUUCACCAUCGCUGCUUUUGCUUUGAAUAUGCAAUCUAGGUAUAUGCUUGACCUUCUAAUUUAGAAACUUUAUUGUAAUGAAUUAUAUUAAGCAAAUUUUUGGUCCAAUAAAUGAAGCAUGAAGUUUAUAGAGUUUAUUUGAGUGUUUCGGGCUCUUUUAAUAUCUAUCUCAUGUUUACAAAUGUUUGAUAUGUCCAUUGUGUUAGAAUGGUACAUUUAUGUGUACAUUUGUUCGGAUUUUGAAGAUUGUAAUAUUCCAUUUAGUAUAGUAAUUGCUCGACAAGAUUCUUUCUCCUGAAAAUUCUCACUAAAAUUAUAUAAUUACAUGAAAAAUAAAAGUGAACUUCUAUUCUCAAGGAUCCCUGUCUUUACUUACUUUUCUUUUUUACUUCAUGCGCUUAAUCCAUUCAAAAGGAUUUAAGUUCUAAGAUAGUUUGUUGAGUAUUUAGAUUAAGAAAAAAUAAUAAAUAAAUUCUCAUGUCAUGAUGUUAUGGUUAUUUUAUGUCUACUUAUAAUAUUUUGCAGGAAAGUUCACCGUGAUUGUCAUCAAUUAGGUCUAACUUUAACUAGAAGAUAUUUGUGAAAUAUCUCGCCAUGGUUUUGUUGAUAGUAUUAGUUAACUCAUGAAAUUUUUUUUUUACUUUAAACUUAAUAGUAAUUCAAAUACAAAAUAAAAAGAGAGAGGAAACAAUGGGAAAUUAUUUUGUUGCACUUUGGGAAUGAAAGUGAGUUUUAAAGUGACUGGGAGCUUUUGAGCUAAUUGAGCUAAGUUAAUGAACUUGAACCCGCCAAGCAGAAAAUAGUGAGAUAGUUGGCCCCAAUUCUAAAUGCAAGGAGCUUGUUUAUCUACCACUUUAGUAUAAACACAUUUAUUCAUUUUAACUGAAGAAAAAUUAUCUCUUAGUAAGACUUGUUUAAAUUUCUUAUAUUACUGCGUAGGAGCUUGUUUAAGGCCAUAAAGAGAUUUAAUUAAAUUACAAACUUUAUUUUUUUGUCCAGGAAUAACACAGCCUUCAGGUUGAACCAUAUAAAUCUCUUCUUCUAAAUCACCAUUCAAAAAAGCAUUUUUGACAUCCAUUUGGUGGAUAAAAAACUUAAGGAUUGAAGGUAAGGCAAUUAAAACUCGAAUAGAAGAAAUUCUAGUCACUAGUGCAAAUGUAUUAAAAUAGUCUAUAUUUUGUUUUUGAGAAAAUCCUUUUGCUACAAACCGAGCUUUAUAUUUAUCUAAAGAUCCAUCGGGAUUAAAUUUCUUUUUGAAAAUCCAUUUACAACCAAUAGGCUUUGCACCAGGAGGUAAUUCAGUCAAAAUCUAUGUGUUAUUUUUCUUAACAUAAUCAGUUUCAACUUUUAUUGCCUCUUUCCAAUAUUUAGCAUCUGAAGAAGAUAUAACUUCAAAAAUUUGAUGGUUCAUUAUCGACAAGAAAAGUUUGAAAAUCGUUUUCAUAAGAAAAAUAUUCUUUCCUAGGCCUUGUACUUCUUCUCAGUUCCACAUUAGAGAUAAUUUCACUAUUUGUUUUAACAGGUGUAUGAGAAAUUUUAUCAGAUAGCGGAAACAUAUGUUCAAACAAUUCUGCAUUCUUUGCGCGAUCAAGCACAUCACUUUUUAAAACAAGAAAUCUAUAUGCAGCACUAUGUUCAACAUAUCCAAUAAGCAUGUGGUCAGCAGUUUUAGAACCUAUUUUUCUCUUUUUAGGUUCAGGCAAAAGAACUUUAGCAAGGCACCCCCACACUUUUAAAUAUUUCAAACUAGGUUUAUAGCCCCUCCAUAAUUCAUAUGGAGUUUUGUCAGUUCUUCUUUGUGGUAUUCUAUUUUGUAAGUGACAUGCAAAUAAAAUAGCUUCACCCCACAAGUUAUCAGGAGCGUUAGAACUAACUAAUAUAGAGUUCAUCAUCUCUUUCAAUGUUUUAUUUUCCCUUUUAGCUACUCCAUUUGACUCAGGUAAAUAAGGCGGAGUUACUUCAUGAAUAACUCCAUUGUUUUCACAAAAUUUUAUUUAAAGAUAUAUAUUCUCCACCUCUAUCUGAUCUAAUUCUUUUGAUUUUUCUACUAAGUUGAUUUUCAACCUCAGUUUUAUAAGAAAUAAAAGCAUUAAAAGCACCAUAUUUACUUCUAAGCAAAUACAACUUAGUAUAUCUAGAAAAAUCAUCAAUAAAAAUCAUAUAAUAUCUUUUACCACCUCUAGUCAUAGUCUGCUUUAAGUCGCCUAAAUCAGCGUAAAUUAAAGAUAACAAUUCAGUUUCUCUGUUUACGGAAAAACGGGUAUUUCUAGUACUU